rnacentral:tRNA from 1 species
GCUUUCGUGGUGUAGUGGUCAGCACGUUCGUCGUGUAACCGAGAGGUCCGUGGUUCAAUUCCCGGCGAGGGCA